GUCAUUCUGUAUCUUUAAAGGCAUUACUUUUUUGUGUUUUCACAAAUAGUCAGUGGUGGCUGGUGAUUCAAUUUGUGGAUGAGGCGCAGAUUCUGGGGGCCUCCCCAACAAAAUUUUGAAGUUGGUAGAUGUGAUUUCCUGCAUUCUGGUGUAUUUUGGGGAUUGCCAUAACCCCAAAAAUCAUUCAGAUUUCAUAGUCUACAUCCUGACUUGCAUGGCUUUGGCAAGCUUGCACUGCAUAUACAGGCCUACUUUAUGGCUUUAUACUUUAUUGGUGUUAUUCUGAUAUUUAGGCAAACCUUGAUCAUUGUGCGAUAGCCUCAAUUUUUUGCAAGUCUCAAGGUCUAUUUAAUAUGCAGUUAGAAAAUCUUGGACAGUUUCUUCAUUUUGUUCAUAUGCAAUAGGCUGAGAGAAUAGAUUAAUGUGUAACUUAAAUCCUUUUAAGUAUAACAUUGCUUGGGGAGUCCCAAUUCCUCCACUGGGAAGGGGGGUGGCUAUCUAUCUCUUCUCUGCAAGUAGUUGAAAAACAAUGCCAUUGUUCUAGGCGCACAGAGGUGCGAACUAAAAACGCCAAUGAAAAGCUGUCUCUGCUUGAAAGACGGCAAAAAGAUUGCCAGCUCACAUAGACUUCAUGGUUACCGGUGCCCCUGCCGUGAAGCAGGGCUUUCUCUCAAAUGACAAAUAAGAAGCCUGUCCCAAAGAAUUGACAUUCAGACGGAUUUAAAUGGUUGCUGGCAGUGGCAAGAACGGUCUAUCACACACUUAAAUGAGGAUAAACGCUAUGUAUUUUUGUUGAUUUAUUUC